rnacentral:lncRNA from 1 species
AUGCCAGCUAUUCACCCACCCACACUAGAACCUGGCAUCUCUCUCUGUAAAACUAAUUUGAAACCAGCAUGUUUUCCUCACUUUCUAUCUUUAUUGCAAUUUAACUCAGGUAGGGCAACUCGUUGCAACAGCCCCAGCAGAAGCAACAGAGGACUCAUGACUCCUGCCCGUACUCCUUUAGGGGAUGGCGAAACUCAGGGCGGACCUUUCCUCUUGUGUGUGGAGAGAGGGGCUUCCCUUGUGUGUCCAAGGGAUCAAGGAAGCAUUUACUGACCCCUGCUCUAGAGGAAUGCCACAAGUAUGAUUUGUGCCUGUUCUUGCGCUGCCUCUGGACAUACCACAGUCUAUAAAACCAGCAAGGUAAGAGCAAGGGCAGCAUGGCGAGCACUACAUACCUGGAGUCCAGGAGAACCAGGGCCUCCUCCGAGGUGGGGCAGGAGUCUGCUAGGGAACCUGCUGAGAGCUUCUCCCUGCCUGUUCCUUCUCAGGUUUUCUAGAAAAGAGUUUUCUUAAGGGAAAAAUGGUCAGGGUAUUAUCCUUCCUGAAGGAUUGGAAAAGUUUAUGUCUGUCACACACCUGGAGCUGAAAACAAGCGAUAUUUAUUUGCAAAUGAAAAACUCCAUUUGCAGCAGUGGCAACAGGUACCUGCAGCGUCAGGCUGCUCUCUCCCCACUGACAUUGCCAGGAUUAAAAAUAGCCGUUCUGUGUGUCCUUCAGCCCUGUAUUGAGCUGGAGCCCUGAGCCGAGUUCUCCUCAGCUUCAUGCUUAAUGAAGCAUAAUUUGUAUUAAUAGCAGCUAUUAAAUCUAGAGUGCUUAAUAGGAAUUUAGAGCUGCGAUCCUGAGUCACUGAGCUUCCUGCACGCGGUCCCCAGAGCGCUGAGCUCAGCCUGAGCGCCGGCCACGGGUCCUGGGCCUGUGCGGGGAGCAGCUGUGGCGAACAGGAGGCAAGAGAGAGCAGGGCGCCAAAUCUCCAACUCAGCCUGGGGUUUUCUUGGGUCCUAGGACCGCGUGGCGGUCCCUCUGUGGUGGGAAGGCUGCAUUCCGGAAAAGGCAGCGUUGGGUGCUGGAGAACAAGUGGGCCGGGCAAUUUUACAGACUUGCAUUCAGGGAAAGACAGAAAUGAAGAUUUGAUGUUGGUUCGGCACCUUUCUGUUCCCAUCCUUCUUUAAAACAAGCUCUGGUUUAAAUGUAACAUGGAAGGAUUUCUGUAGAAAAUUAUCAUGGGAAGUGAAGUGGCUCCUUGUAGCCCUGCUUCAGCAAACGUUUCCUUCCU